UGUGAACGUUACCAAACUGUUGCCUCGGCGGGGUCACGCCCCGGGUGCGUAAAAGCCCCGGAACCAGGCGCCCGCCGGAGGAACCAACCAAACUCUUUCUGUAGUCCCCUCGCGGACGUAUUUCUUACAGCUCUGAGCAAAAAUUCAAAAUGAAUCAAAACUUUCAACAACGGAUCUCUUGGUUCUGGCAUCGAUGAAGAACGCAGCGAAAUGCGAUAAGUAAUGUGAAUUGCAGAAUUCAGUGAAUCAUCGAAUCUUUGAACGCACAUUGCGCCCGCCAGUAUUCUGGCGGGCAUGCCUGUCCGAGCGUCAUUUCAACCCUCGAACCCCUCCGGGGGAUCGGCGUUGGGGAUCGGGACCCCUCACCGGGUGCCGGCCCUGAAAUACAGUGGCGGUCUCGCCGCAGCCUCUCCUGCGCAGUAGUUUGCACAACUCGCACCGGGAGCGCGGCGCGUCCACGUCCGUAAAACACCCAACUUCUGAAAUGUUGACCUCGGAUCAGGUAGGAAUACCCGCUGAACUUAAGCAUAUCAAU
rnacentral:rRNA from 1 species